AACACUUGCAGAUCUAGAGACGAGCAUGAAUUUAAAAAAAAAUCAAAGUAUAUUCCUGAAUAUAUAUAAUAUUAAGACAAAAUCCAUUUUUUUCAUAAAUAUUUCAUUCACUAAUGAAGUAGGAAAUUCAUUCUUUUGAUACCUUUAUAUUGUUAUCGAAUUUAUAUCAGUGGCGGAUCCAUGUCUAAAUCCAGAACAAAACAGGGGGGGGGGGUCCAACUUUAUGUCCCCAUCUAAAUGCAUUGAUCUUCAAAAAAAGGUUGUUCCAAUCCGCGGGACCCCUACCACUGCAUAUUAAAUUCA
rnacentral:lncRNA from 1 species